rnacentral:rRNA from 1 species
UGGGGAAUAUUGCACAAUGGGCGCAAGCCUGAUGCAGCCAUGCCGCGUGUGUGAAGAAGGCCUUCGGGUUGUAAAGCACUUUCAGCGAGGAGGAAGGUGGUGAGCUUAAUACGCUCAUCAAUUGACGUUACUCGCAGAAGAAGCACCGGCUAACUCCGUGCCAGCAGCCGCGGUAAUACGGAGGGUGCAAGCGUUAAUCGGAAUUACUGGGCGUAAAGCGCACGCAGGCGGUUUGUUAAGUCAGAUGUGAAAUCCCCGGGCUCAACCUGGGAACUGCAUUUGAAACUGGCAAGCUAGAGUCUCGUAGAGGGGGGUAGAAUUCCAGGUGUAGCGGUGAAAUGCGUAGAGAUCUGGAGGAAUACCGGUGGCGAAGGCGGCCCCCCUGGACGAAGACUGACGCUCAGGUGCGAAAGCGUGGGGAGCAAACAGAUUAGAUACCCUGGUAGUCCACGCUGUAAACGAUGUCGAUUUUGGAGGUUGUGCCCCUUGAGGCG